rnacentral:rRNA from 1 species
CCUACGGGAGGCAGCAGUGGGGAAUUUUGGACAAUGGGCGCAAGCCUGAUCCAGCAAUGCCGCGUGAGUGAAGAAGGCCUUCGGGUUGUAAAGCUCUUUUGUCAGGGAAGAAACGGCUGAGGCUAAUAUCCUCGGCUAAUGACGGUACCUGAAGAAUAAGCACCGGCUAACUACGUGCCAGCAGCCGCGGUAAUACGUAGGGUGCAAGCGUUAAUCGGAAUUACUGGGCGUAAAGCGUGCGCAGGCGGUUUUGUAAGUCUGUCGUGAAAGCCCCGGGCUUAACCUGGGAAUUGCGAUGGAGACUGCAAGGCUUGAAUCUGGCAGAGGGGGGUAGAAUUCCACGUGUAGCAGUGAAAUGCGUAGAGAUGUGGAGGAACACCGAUGGCGAAGGCAGCCCCCUGGGUCAAGAUUGACGCUCAUGCACGAAAGCGUGGGGAGCAAACAGGAUUAGAUACCCUGGUAGUCCACGCCCUAAACGAUGUCUACUAGUUGUCGGGUCUUAAUUGACUUGGUAACGCAGCUACGCGUGAGUAGACCGCCGUCGGGAGGUACGGUCGCGAGAAGUUAAAACGUUAAAGUUAGUAAGUUAGUACGGCGUGAGACGUAGACCGACGGACGACGACGAGGGAGGAGG